AACGAACGCUGGCGGCAGGCCUAACACAUGCAAGUCGAGCGCGCCCUUCGGGGUGAGCGGCGGACGGGUGAGUAACGCGUGGGAACGUGCCCUUCUCUGCGGAAUAGCCUCGGGAAACUGAGAGUAAUACCGCAUACGCCCUUUGGGGGAAAGAUUUAUCGGAGAAGGAUCGGCACGCGUUGGAUUAGGUAGUUGGUGGGGUAAUGGCCCACCACGCCGACGAUCCAUAGCUGGUUUGAGAGGAUGAGCAGCCACACUGGGACUGAGACACGGCCGAGACUCCUACGGGAGGCAGGAGAGGGGAAUCUUAGACAAUGGGGGCAACCCUGAACGAGCCAUGCCGCGUGAGUGAUGAAGGCCUGAGAGAUGUAAAGCUCUUUCAGCUGGGAAGAUAAUGACGGUACCAGCAGAAGAAGCCCCGGCUAACUCCGUG
rnacentral:rRNA from 1 species